rnacentral:rRNA from 1 species
CAGUCGCCGCGGUAGUACGAAGGGUGCAAGCGUUACUCGGAAUUACUGGGCGUAAAGCGUGCGUAGGUGGUGGUUUAAGUCCGUUGUGAAAGCCCUGGGCUCAACCUGGGAAUUGCAGUGGAUACUGGGUCACUAGAGUGUGGUAGAGGAUAGUGGAAUUUCCGGUGUAGCAGUGAAAUGCGUAGAGAUCUGGAGGAAUACCGGUGGCGAAGGCGGCCCCCUGGACAAAGACUGACGCUCAGGUGCGAAAGCGUGGGGAGCAAACAGGAUUAGAUACCCGCGUAGUCCCUGUCUCUUAUAC